UGGUGUUGGAUUGAAGAUUGUGCUGAAA
rnacentral:piRNA from 1 species